rnacentral:tRNA from 1 species
GCCAGCGUAGCUCAGUCGGUAGAGCGGCUCAUUCGUAAUGAGCAGGUCAUCGGUUCAAUUCCGAUCGCUGGCUCCA